GCAUUGGUGGUUCAGUGGUAGAAUUCUCGCCUCCCACGUGGGAGAGCCGGGUCUGAUUCCCGGAAAAAUGCA
rfam:Danio rerio chromosome 4, GRCz11 reference primary assembly.